GGCUUGGUGGUGUAGUGGUUACAUGCCUGCUCUCAAUGUCUGAUACGAAAGCUAAUUAUUGUAGGAGUGCCUUGUUCGAUUCAAGGCCAGGCCA